rnacentral:rRNA from 1 species
GAUGAACGCUGGCGGCGUGCCUAAUACAUGCAAGUCGAGCGAACAGAUGAGGAGCUUGCUCCUCUGACGUUAGCGGCGGACGGGUGAGUAACACGUGGAUAACCUACCUAUAAGACUGGGAUAACUUCGGGAAACCGGAGCUAAUACCGGAUAAUAUAUUGAACCGCAUGGUUCAAUAGUGAAAGACGGUUUUGCUGUCACUUAUAGAUGGAUCCGCGCCGCAUUAGCUAGUUGGUAAGGUAACGGCUUACCAAGGCAACGAUGCGUAGCCGACCUGAGAGGGUGAUCAGCCACACUGGAACUGAGACACGGUCCAGACUCCUACGGGAGGCAGCAGUAGGGAAUCUUCCGCAAUGGGCGAAAGCCUGACGGAGCAACGCCGCGUGAGUGAUGAAGGUCUUCGGAUCGUAAAACUCUGUUAGUAGGGAAGAACAAAUGUGUAAGUAACUAUGCACGUCUUGACGGUACCUAAUCAGAAAGCCACGGCUAACUACGUG